ACUGUUUACAGCAAAUAUGACCUUGGGCAAGUUUCAUAACCUUUUAGUGCUUCAGCUGCCUCUUCUGAAGAUGGAGAUGAUAUUGACACCUGCUUCAUAGGGCUGUUGUGAGUUUUGAAAGGCCUCAUUUUUCCAUUGAUGCUUCUACAACAUUUUCAGCUGUGGACGGAACCUCUAACAUGUUUGGAUAAUCAAGGGGAUAAUCAGCUGCUGGGUGUUCCUACCACCAUAAAAGGUUAAAACAUGCUUUGCCUUUGUGCUUGACUAGGAAGCUAAUUAAUAACAAUACAGGCAGUUUCCAAUUUAUAAAUAACUUAUACUUAGGAAAGUUCAGUUGUAAAACUAUAAUUUGGAUCUUAUAAUACAUUUUCCCAUAAAAAUGUUGCAAGAGAUGAUUUAAUACUCAGGCCUACCUAUCUAAGUAGCCUAGUAUCUUGGAGAAAAAACUGGUACUAUAGACCACCAGUCACUGUGUAUGAUUCACCUGAUGUGUUCUGAAUUCUAGAUGAAGAAAUGUCAGAAACACAUCUCCCUCUAGGAAAAUCCUGGGGAGGAGAGGACUGCCUCUUGCUUGCCCCUCAUCACUUUUAGUAAAAGAGAGGUAGGAGUUUGGGGGGCAUGGUUUUCACUAGGCCACAUCAACCUCAGUUUCCUAGGUAACAUCAAUGGCAGAAGAGAAGAAGGGGUGGUGAGGUGGAAAUAUCCAUUGUUAUGUGUAUGUAAUUUGUUAAGACUUCUCUAUUAGUAGUGAUAGAAAUUUGUUAAAAUCUUUGGUAUUUGUUUUAGCAUCCCCUACCCUCCCUCUACCCGAGUCUACAAAUCAAACAAGGCCAUAGUCCUAGGGGAGAAUGACUGUUCUUUUCAUCAUAGUUCUUCCUGCAGGUACCCCAGACGAAGAUGUUCUCAAAAUCAUCUUUUUAAGAAGGCAAUAUUAAAAAAAAAAAAAGAGUUUGUCAUUAUCAACAAACAAGUCAUUAUUAAUUCUGACUUGAGGCAGAUUUAAUUGUUUUGCCAGUCCAAAAAGCUUCCCUAACUAUUGAAUCUGUCUGCAAAGACAGCCUGGCAUACACGUUGCCAUUUAAGAUGUGUCCAUCACUAAAUGCUUUAGACAGAACAGAACAUGACAGUGGCUUUCUUAAUGAUCCAAAGCUGGUAAUGUGGCAUUCAUUCAUUCAACAAAUAUGUACUAAGCAUUCGCUAUGCACCAAAUACUCUUCUAGGUGCCAGGUAUACGGCAAUGAAAAAUACAAAUAAUUUGCCUGCUGAGGCUAGACAGAUGAUAAACACACCAACAGGUAAUUAUAUAAUGUGUGAGAUGGUGAUAAGUGCUGUGGAAAAGAUUACAUUUCGUUUAGGGUGGUCAGGCAAGGAUCUGCAGGAAGUGAGGGGGUUAGCCAUGAGACUCUCUGGGAAAAGAGUUCUCCAGGCAGAGAGAACAGCAAAUGCAAAGCCCCUGAGCCAGGAGCAUCUUGGAAGAACAGCAAGGAGCCUCCAGCUGGAUCAGAGUAAGCUAGGGGAAAGUGGAGGGAGAUGAGAUCAGAGAGGUAGCAGGGGCACAAAGUCAUGUAGGGCCUCGUAGAUCACUUGAAAGAUUUGCUUUUAUUCUAAGUUAGAUAGGAAACCACUCGAGUGUUUUGAGCACAAGUGUAACAAGAAUUGACUUAUAUUUUUAAAGGAUUACUCUGGCUCUUGUAUUGAGAUAAGGUAAAAGAUGAUGGUAGAUUGAACCAAGAUGGUAGCAAUCAAAGUGAGGAAAAGUUUGGAUUUGGGAUAUAUUUUGAAGAUAGGGCCAAUAGGAGCUCUAAAGUAUUGGAUAUGAGGUGUCAAAGAAAAAGUAGAACCAAGGAUAACUCAAAACGCGUGGGCUAAGCACCUAGAAUUGUCAUUUAUUGAGCUGGGGAAGAUUACUGGGGGUAGAGGAGAAGGGAGAAUUGAAAGUUUCAUUUCUGAUAUGUUAAGUUUGACGUGCCUAUUAGACAUCCAAGAGCAGAUGUCAAGUAGGCGGUGGGAUAAGUAAGCUGAAAUUCAUGGACGAGGUCUGCUGUGUAAGUAUUCGUUUGGGCAUUUAAAGUCAUGAGACUGAAUGAAAACACCAAUACAUGCAGACAAAGAAAAGAGGAGGUGUUUGGCCUGAAUGCUAGUGCUGUCCAGUAUUCAGCCGUCAGAGAAAUGAGGCCCAACCAGCAAAGGAGACAGAAGAGAAAGAAGAAGACAUAUGAGAAGGUGGUGCCCCAAAAAGCAAGUGAAGAAAGGAGUUAAGGAGGGAGUAUUCAUCUGUGUCAAACGCUGCAAAUAAAUUAGGUAAGAUGAGGACUGAUAGUUGAUUAUUGAAUUUGGUGAAGGUCAUUGGUGACUUUGACGCUGUGCUGUGUCACUAAACCUGCUCUCCAAACAAUACCCUGAUUUGUAGUGUUUAUCGGUUUCAAUGGUGUAAAUACCCCUAUCAUGACCAAUUUCAAGCACCAAUGGUUCAACAACCAGCUCACAAAAUUCUUGAGUAUUAACAAUUGGCUCCUGUUAGCUCCAGCCCACACUGCCUUGACAGGAGCCAUUUUGGAAGGUGGGUGAAGAUUGUAGAAGUAUAUUCAAAAGAGAUGAAGCAGGAGGAAUGGGAGACAGUGAGUACAGACAACUCUUUUGAGGAAUUAUACUAUAUAUUUAAAAAAAGGUGAUAACUAAAACAAGAUGUGUGGUCAAGAGUUUGUUUUUGGUCUUUGUUUUCGUUUUAAAUAGGAGCUACAGUAGCAUGUUUGUAUACAGAUGUGAAUGAUUCAUUUAGGGAGGGGAAUUGGUGAAAAAGGAGAAAAUGGGGAGAAUUACUGAAAUGAAGGCCUUGAAUGGGAGGGGGAGGCAUAGUUUGGCCUGAGGUAAGAGCAUAGAUAGUAGUAAUAGCAGAGAAUAGUUCAGCACUCUCCUAUAGAAAUAUGACAUGUGAUUUAAAUUUUUUUAGAUAUCACAUUAAAAAAA